rnacentral:rRNA from 1 species
GACGAACGCUGGCGGCGUGCUUAACACAUGCAAGUCGAACGAUGAAGCCCAGCUUGCUGGGUGGAUUAGUGGCGAACGGGUGAGUAACACGUGAGUAACCUGCCCCUGACUCUGGGAUAAGCGUUGGAAACGACGUCUAAUACUGGAUAUGACUACUGGUCGCAUGGCCUGGUGGUGGAAAGAUUUUUUGGUUGGGGAUGGACUCGCGGCCUAUCAGCUUGUUGGUGAGGUAAUGGCUCACCAAGGCGACGACGGGUAGCCGGCCUGAGAGGGUGACCGGCCACACUGGGACUGAGACACGGCCCAGACUCCUACGGGAGGCAGCAGUGGGGAAUAUUGAACAAUGGGCGAAAGCCUGAUGCGGCAACGCCGCGUGAGGGAUGACGGCCUUCGGGUUGUAAACCUCUUUUAGUAGGGAAGAAGCGAAAGUGACGGUACCUGCAGAAAAAGCACCGGCUAACUACGUGCCAGCCGCCGCAGUAAUAC